AUUAAUUCCUUUACAAGCAUUCAUAUGUAUUAUUUGUAUUGAUUAAAGAAAAGUCAUCACUGACCUGGGAAUUUUUAACAAAAUAGAAGAAAUCAUAGCAUGGGUUAAAAAGAAGGAGGCAAGGAGAAGUAUUUCAAUGAAACAUUCAUUUUCCAUAUCUUUAUUUUACAUGAUACGGAUUCAAGAAUGGGGAAAAGCAUAACACAGCUCUCAAUUAACUACAAAUCUCACUCUUUUCUACAAUGGUAAUGAAAAAUCAAACUAAAUAAAACCUCAAAAGAUUACCAGAAUUAACAAAAGUCAGAAAAGACAAAUACAUGUUAUUUUUUUAACACCAAGAGGGCUUAGGAAGCAGCAGCCAAAGGAGGCGGCGUUGGAGGAACUCCAUGGAAAAAGCUUUGAUUCGACCCAUAACUCAAAUUUUC